UUUAACAUGCAAGUCGAACGGCAGCAUAGAGAGCUUGCUCUCUGAUGGCGAGCGGCCGUAAGGGUGAGUAAUAUAUCGGAACGUGCCUAGUAAUGCCGGAAUAACUAGCUGAAAGGUUAGCUAAUGCCGCAUACGACCUACGGGUGAAAGCAGGGGAUCUUCGGACCUUGCGUUAUUAGAGCGGCCGAUAUCUGAUUAGCUUGUUGGUGGGGUAAUGGCCUACCAAGGCGACGAUCAGUAGCUGGUCUGAGAGGACGAUCAGCCACACUGGAACUGAGACACGGUCCAGACUCCUACGGGAGGCAGCAGUGGGGAAUUUUGGACAAUGGGGGCAACCCUGAUCCAGCCAUUCCGCGUGAGUGAAGAAGGCCUUCGGGUUGUAAAGCUCUUUCGCAAGAGAAGAAAACUUGCUAUCUAAUAAAUAGUAAGCAUGACGGUAUCUUGACAAGAAGCACCGGCUAACUACGUGCCAGCAGCCGCGGUAAUACGUAGGGUGCAAGCGUUAAUCGGAAUUACUGGG
rnacentral:rRNA from 1 species